rnacentral:rRNA from 1 species
UAGGGAAUCUUCCACAAUGGACGAAAGUCUGAUGGAGCAACGCCGCGUGAGUGAAGAAGGGUUUCGGCUCGUAAAACUCUGUUGUUAAAGAAGAACAUAUCUGAGAGUAACUGUUCAGGUAUUGACGGUAUUUAACCAGAAAGUCACGGCUAACUACGUGGCAG